AUGGAGAGCAGAAAUGAUGUCAAAUCAGAUGAGAUCCUCAUGCCUGGGUUCCGGUUCCAUCCUACCGAUGAAGAGCUGGUUAGUUUCUACCUCAAGAAGAAGAUCCAGCAGAAGCCCAUCUCUAUUGAGCUCAUCAGGCAGCUGGACAUCUACAAGUUUGAUCCAUGGGACCUCCCAAAGCUUGCGAGCACUGGCGGUGAGACGGAGUCGUACUUCUACUGCCCAAGGGACCGCAAAUAUCGCAACAGUGCGAGGCCAAACCGGGUCACAGCUGCUGGGUUCUGGAAAGCCACGGGAACAGAUAGGCCGAUUUACUCCUCCGAGGGCACCAGGUGCGUAGGCCUGAAGAAGUCCCUUGUCUUCUACAAAGGCAGAGCAGCAAGAGGGAUCAAAACCGAUUGGAUGAUGCACGAGUUCAGGCUCCCUUCGCUCGCCGAUACGUCACUUCCCAAGAGUAGGCCGAUCGACAAGAACAUCCCGCUCAACGACUCUUGGACCAUAUGUAGGAUCUUCAAGAAGACAAGUUCGAUGGCGGCACAACGGGCGCUAUCUCACACUUGGGGGGCUCCAUUGCCUGGGGAAACUGAGCAAGAUCUCUUCUCCGCCCUGCAACCGGUGCAAGCUUUACAUUUUGCUUCAGAGAGCUCCUCCAGCUCAUUGCAAGUUGCUGCUGCGCUACCAUCAUAUCAGUUCAACGGCAAAUAUGGCUUUCAGGGACAGCACCAGCAGUUUCAGAAACCCAGCAACACACAGGAGAAUGGCUCUUCAUGCAAGGUCAUAAGCUUCAACUGUGGUCCAUCCCUACAAGUCCUGAAAGGCCCCAUCAUCUUGCCAUUCCAAACACAGCCGCCAUCACAGAGGCCCAUGUUGCACACUUCGCCACCGAUCUUCUUUGACGCGCAGUUUGGGCAGCCUGAACAGAUCACCGGAGUUGUUGUGACUGGCUCUUCUGAAGAUGUGAAUGCCGACAUGAGCUGCAGGGAACAAGAGUCAUCCACAACAAAGCAUGAUGAUACUUUCAGCAUGAAGAAUGAGUUGGAGGCUCCAGGGAGACUCAACUUCCCAUUCGAUUUAGGAGCAGACUCUUCAGAUGACUGGGAGUGCAACAUACCUUGGGAGUCCUUUCUUAGCCCAACAGCCCCUGAUGAGAUCAUACAGUACUAG
rnacentral:rRNA from 1 species